rnacentral:tRNA from 1 species
GGGGUCAUAGUGUAAUCUGGCUAUCAUCUGGGACUCCAGUUGUCUUUGAAGAAAGUGCGCACUCUGAAGGAAAGUAUGAUGACCAAUUGGAGUACUGAGGCAAGAGAAAUCCUAGGAUCUGGGUUCAAAUCCCGGUGACCCCA